rnacentral:lncRNA from 1 species
AGGCUCCAGCACAGUGCUGCAAGAGCAUGCAUGCUACUGGAGUGCUCGUAGCUGCUUCUGCUGCUUCUCUGCAACUGAACUGAAUAUUUGUACAUGCUGCAGGACUGAAACAUGAUGCACGCAAAGUUGCACAGACAAUUACGCCAAGUACUACACCUACUGAGAAAAGAAAAAGGAGUAUACGCAUAGAAUUUUUUUAUUAUAUCCGUUCAUAAAUAUAAGGAUUU